rnacentral:rRNA from 45 species
UGUCGUCAGCUCGUGUUGUGAAAUGUUGGGUUAAGUCCCGCAACGAGCGCAACCCUUAUCCUUUGUUGCCAGCGGUCCGGCCGGGAACUCAAAGGAGACUGCCAGUGAUAAACUGGAGGAAGGUGGGGAUGACGUCAAGUCAUCAUGGCCCUUACGACCAGGGCUACACACGUGCUACAAUGGCGCAUACAAAGAGAAGCGACCUCGCGAGAGCAAGCGGACCUCAUAAAGUGCGUCGUAGUCCGGAUUGGAGUCUGCAACUCGACUCCAUGAAGUCGGAAUCGCUAGUAAUCGUGGAUCAGAAUGCCACGGUGAAUACGUUCCCGGGCCUUGUACACACCGCCCGUCACACCAUGGGAGUGGGUUGCAAAAGAAGUAGGUAGCUUAACCUUCGGGAGGGCGCUUACCACUUUGUGAUUCAUGACUGGGGUGAAGUCGUAACAAGGUAACCGUAGGGGAACCUGC